AAGUCAGGCGAGAACAUCCGCUUAGUUUAAGCAUAUAAUUAAGCGAAGGAAAAGAAACUUACAAGGAUUCCCCUAGUAGCGGCGAGAAAACCGGGAAGAGCCCAACAUGAAAAUCGGGCGACAGCGUCACCUGAAUUUUAGUCUAUGGAAGUGUCCUCAACGGUGGACCUAGGCCAAGUCCCUUGGAAGGGGGCGCCUGAGAGGGUGAUAGCCCCAUCAGGCCAGGACCUUGCCACAUCACGAGGCAUUGUCGGCGAGUCGGGUUGUUUGGGAAUGCAACGCUAAUUGGGUGGUAAAUUCCAUCCAAGGCUAAAUACGAGAGAGAGACCGCUAGUGAACAAGUACCCCAAGGGAAAGAUGAAAAGGACUUUGAAAAGAGAGUUAAAGUGUGCUUGAAAUUUCCAAGAGGGAAGUGGAUGGAGGCUGUCGAUGUGUCUUGGUUGGAUGUGGAAUGGCUCGGGCUGGUCCACCGCUCGAAUUGAGGUGCAAACCAACACGCGCUGCUGCAUCAUCAAAAGCGCGGGUGUAUUACUCCUUGUCGGUUUGUCAUUGCAGUGGUCAAGGAACGAAGUGUGCGCCCUUGUGGUGGGCUGUGUGCACCUGCACGCUCGUGGUGUUGGUUCGCGGGCUUUCCGUUCGACGUGUCUUGAAACACGGACCAAGGAGUGUAACAUGUGUGCGAGUUGGCAGGUUUGAAAACCGGCGAGGUGCAAGGAAGUUGAUGGGCGAGAUCCCCUCUCUGGGGGGGUGAAUCGUCGACCGAACUUGUGCUUAUCAAGGGUUCGAGUGUGAGCACACCUGUUGGGACACAAAAUAUGGUGAACUAUGCCUGAACAGGGUGAAGCCAGAGGAAACUCUGGUGGAGGCUCAUAGCGAUACUGACAUGCAAAUUGUUCAUCUGACUUGGGUAUAUGGGUGAAAGAAUAAUCGAACCAUCUAGUAGCUGGUUUCCUCCGAAGUUUCCCUCAGGAUAGCUGGAGCUCACGUGCAAGUUUUAUUGGGUAAAGCAAAUGAUUAUAGGCAUCGGGGGUGUAACGCCCUCGACCUAUUCUCAAACUUUAAUUAGGUAAGAGGGUGCGGCUGCUCCAUUGAGCCGUGCUAUGGAAUUGAGAGCUCCAAGUGGGCCAUUUUUGGUAAGAAGAACUACCGAUGCAGGAUGAAGUGAAAGUCGAGUUACGGUGCCGAAUUGCGUGCUAACUUUGAUCCCACAAAGGGUGUUGGUUGAUUAAGACAGCAGGAUGGUGGUCAUGGAAGUCGAAACCUGCUAAGGAGUGUGUAACAACUCACCUGUCAAAUCAACUAGCCUCGAAAAUGGAUGGUGCUGAAGCAUGCAAUCUAUACUCGACUGUUGGAGCAAUUACUUGGCUCUGAUGAGUAGGAGGAUGCGGUGUCAUUGAGAAACCUCGAGCGUGAGCUUGGGUGGAUCAGCCCCCAGUGCAGAUCUUGGUGGUAGUAGAAAAUAUUCAAAGGAGAACUUUGAAGACUGAAGUGGGCAAAGGUUCCAUGUGAACAACACUUGAACAUGGAUUAGUCGAUCCUAAGAGAUGGGGAAGCCUUGUAUCAAGGGUGCACUCUGCACGAGCAUCGAAAGGGAAUCGGGUUAAUAUUCCCAAAUCGGGACAUGGCAGUGGGCGACAACGUUAGGAAAUCUGGAGAUGUCGACGGGGGCCCCAGGAAGAGUUAUCUUUUAUUUUUAACAGCUUGCCCACCUUGGAAUCAGUUCACCUAGAGAUAGGGUCCAAUAGAUGGAGGAGCACCACACGUCUUGCAGUGUACGGUGUACCCUUGGUAGCCCUUGAAAAUUUGGAGGACCGAGUACCGUUCAUGCUCGGUCGUACUCAUUAACUGCAUCAGGUCUCCAAGGUGAACAACCUAUGGUUAAUAGAACAAUGUAGGUGAGGGAAGUCGGCAAAAUGGAUUCAUAACUUCCGGAAAAGGAUUGGAUCUGAGGGCUGGGCCUAGGGGUCUGCGCCUUCAACUCAUGGGCUGUCGGCAGUCUGCCUGAGCUGUUCUCACUGCGAGGGUGGGUAGUCGCGUGCCGAUUGGGCUAUAGGCGUAGAAUGUCCCCUGUUGGGGGAUUUUCCCUAGGUGGCGGGCGGCGAACAAUAGACUCAGAACUGGUAUGGACAAGGGGAAUCAGACUGUUUAAUUAAAACAAAGCAUUGCAAUGGUCCAUGUGAAUGCUGACACAAUGUGAUUUCUUCCCAGUGCUCUGAAUGUCAAAGUGAAGAAAUUCAACCAAGUGCGGGUAAACGGAGGGAGUAACUAUGAUUCUCUUAAGGUAUCCAAAUGCCUCGUCAUCUAAUUAGUGAUGUGCAUGAAUGGAUUAACGAGAUUCUCACAAUCCCUAUCUUUUAUCUAGCGAAACCACAUCGAAGGGAAUGGGCUUGGUAGAAUCAAGGGGAAAGAAGACCUUGUUGAGCUUGACUCUAGUUUGACUUUGUGAAAUGACUUGAGAGAUGUAGAGUAAGUGGGAGCCAUUUUUGGCGCAAGUGAAAUACCACUACAUUUAACAUUAUUUACUUAUUCCAUGGGGCGGAGACGGGGCACUGCCCUUGUUUUUGGCCUUAAGACACGUUUUGACAUGUCGAUCUGGGCGAAAGACAUUGUCAGGUGGGGAGUUUGGUUGGGGCGGCACAUCUGCUAAAAGAUAAUGCAGGUGUCCUAAGAUGAGCUCAACGAGAAUAGAAAUCUCAUGUGGAAUGAAAGAGUAAAAACUCAUUUGAUUUUGAUUUUCAGUAUGAAUACAAACCAUGAAAGUGUGGCCUAUCGACCCUUUAGAUUUUCAGAAUUUGAAGCUAGAGGUGUCAGAAAAGUUACCACAGGGAUAACUAGCUUGUGGCAGCCAAGCGUUCAUAGCGACAUUGCUUUUUGAUCCUUUGAUGUCGGCUCUUCCUAUCAUUGUGAAGCAGAAUUCACCAAGUGUUGGAUUCUUCACCCACUAAUAGGGAACGUGAUCUCGGUUUAGACCAUCGUGAGAUAGGUUAAUUUUACCCUACUGAUGGACCGCACCACAAUAGUAAUUCAACUUAGUACGAGAGGAAUCGUUGAUUGACACAAUUGGUCAUCACGCUUGGUUGAAAAGAUAGUGGUGCGAAGCUACCAUGUGUCAGAUUAUCACUGAACCGCUGUAAGUCAGAAUCCACGCUAGAAGCAGUGCAUUUCAUUCUUCGACUGUAUCUCAACCCGUAGUAGGGGCGUCGCUUUGUCGCCCCAGGGGCUUGUGUCAUUUGCAAACCGCGACUGUGAAGCAUCUCGUUCGGGGUAGCUUUGAAGUUAAAUUC
rnacentral:rRNA from 1 species